GUAAGUCUAAAUCGUCCCAUCUCUCCUUGAAACUCUACAGGGCACCAAGGAGGACAGAGAAGGAAAAGGAAAAGGAUAAGGAGGAGGAGCAGGAGAAGAAGGAAGAAGGAGGAGGAGGAGGAGGAGGAAGGAAGGGAGGAGAAAGAAGAGAAGCCCACCAUCAACACACACAUCAGACUUAACUUCAGAGGAACUAGGAAGCUGGGAAGACAUGCAAACCCAACACAGGAGGAGAGGAGCAAGGAGAGGCCCCUCGGUGUGAGAACGCAGACCUGGGGAAGUGAAGAGAGUAGGGGCAGAUGGUGCCCAGGAAGUCCAGAGUGCGGCAUCCCGGAGAGCACCACUUCCCCAGAGAGGAGGGAGCCCCCUGCGCCGGCUGCAGCAGCGGAAAGGACGCCGGCGCUAGAGCCUUCCAGCCGGCAGAGGGCUUGUGGCUACGCAAAAUCCCACCCAGGAUCACACACUGCAUUUAGUUGAUAUUUCUUCUUCAUCUCCUGCAGCUUCUCAGUCUUUGCUCAUCUCUUUCAUGACCUCGACACCUGUAAGCAGUACUGGUCAGUACUUGUCAAACGUUCCUCCAUUCAAGUUUGAUGUUUUCUCAUGAUUGGACUAAGGUUGUGCAUUUUUGGCAAGAUGACCACAAAAAUGAUGUGUUGUCCUUCCCCGUGCACCAUACAACAGGGUUAUGGUGUUGAUAUGACUUAUACUGGUAACGUUGAACUUGAUCAUUUGGUUUCUGCUGGGUAUCUCCACUGUGACGUCACUAUCUUUCCCCCUUGUAGUUAAUAAACAUCUUGGGAGAAAUAGUUUGAGAUUACGCAAAAUCUGUAUCUCCUGAAACUUAAAAAAAAUUUAUUUUUAUUGUGGUAAAAUAUA